rnacentral:rRNA from 1 species
UACGUAGGGUGCGAGCGUUGUCCGGAAUUAUUGGGCGUAAAGAGCUCGUAGGCGGUGUGUCGCGUCGGCCGUGAAAACCUGCAGCUUAACUGUGGGCUUGCGGUCGAUACGGGCAUCACUGGAGUUCGGCAGGGGAGACUGGAAUCCGCGUGUAGCAGUGAAAUGCGCAGGAUAUCAGGAGAACACCAAUUGCGAAGGCAGC